rnacentral:rRNA from 1 species
CNCCCUUGGGUUCGAUUCCGGAGAGGGAGCCUGAGAAAUGGCUACCACAUCCAAGGAAGGCAGCAGGCGCGUAAAUUGCCCGAAUCCAGACACAGGGAGGUAGUGACAAGAAAUAACAAUACAGGGCUACUUCUAGUCUUGUAAUUGGAAUGAGUACAACUUACAUCUCUUCACGAGGAUCAAUUGGAGGGCAAGUCUGGUGCCAGCAGCCGCGGUAAUUCCAGCUCCUAUAGCGUAUAUUAAAGUUGUUGCAGUUAAAAAGCUCGUAGUCGGAUUUCGGGGCGGGGCGAGCGGUCUGCCGAUGGGUAUGCACUGUUCGGCGCGUCCUUCUUUCCGGAGACCGGUCCUACUCUUAGCUGAGCGGGGUCGGGAGACGGAAUAUUUACUUUGAAAAAAUCAGAGUGUUUAACGCGGGCAUCUCGCUUUUGAAUGGAUUAGCAUGGGAUAAUGAAAUAGGACUCGGGUGCUAUUUUGUUGGUUUCGAAAACCGGAGUAAUGAUUAAAAGGGACAGUCAGGGGCACUAGUAUUCUGUUGAGAGAGGUGAAAUUCUCAGACCAAUGGAAGACGAACCACUGCGAAAGCAUUUGCCAGGGAUGUUUUCACUGAUCAAGAACGAAAGUUAGGGGAUCGAAGACGAUCAGAUACCGUCGUAGUCUUAACCAUAAACCAUGCCGACUAGGGAUUGGAGGGUGNUCUAUUUGACCUCUUCAGCACCUUANGGGAAACUAAAGUCUUUG